rnacentral:rRNA from 1 species
AUACGGAGGAUCCGAGCGUUAUCCGGAUUUAUUGGGUUUAAAGGGAGCGUAGGUGGAUUGUUAAGUCAGUUGUGAAAGUUUGCGGCUCAACCGUAAAAUUGCAGUUGAAACUGGCAGUCUUGAGUCCAGUAGAGGUGGGCGGAAUUCGUGGUGUAGCGGUGAAAUGCUUAGAUAUCACGAAGAACUCCGAUUGCGAAGGCAGCUCACUAGACUGUUACUGACACUGAUGCUCGAAAGUGUGGGUAUCAAACAGGAUUAGAUACCCUGGUAGUCCACACAGUAAACGAUGAAUACUCGCUGUUUGCGAUAUACAGUAAGCGGCCAAGCGAAAGCAUUAAGUAUUCCACCUGGGGAGUACGCCGGCAACGGUGAAACUCAAAUGAAUUGGCGGGG